GCCCGUGUAGCCCAACUGGCAGAGGCGCUGCGUUCAGGGCGCAGAGGUUCGGGGUUCGAAUCCCCGCACGGGUAC
rnacentral:tRNA from 1 species